rnacentral:rRNA from 1 species
UAAAAUAGGAGGUAUAUAUCUUCUAAAGCUAAAUACCGGCUAGAGACCGAUAGCGCAUAAGUAGAGUGAUCGAAAGAUAAAAAGCACUUUAAAAAGAGGGUUAAAUAGUAUAUAAAAUUAUUAAAAGGGAAGCGCUUGCGACUAGACUCGGCCGCGGCGGAUUACCUAGAGUUUCCUCUAGCGCACUUUCCGCCGCAGCCAGGCCAGCGUCGGCUCGCUACGGGGGACAAAGGCGCUAGGAACGUAGCUCCCCUAGGAGUGUUAUAGCCCGGCGCGUAAUGCCCCGCGGCGGGCCGAGGUCCGCGCGUC